UACAGAGGGCUCAAGCGUUGUUCGGAUUCAUUGGGCGUAAAGGGUGCGCAGGCGGCGCUGUAAGUCGGGUGUGAAAUUUCGGAGCUUAACUCCGAAACUGCAUUCGAUACUGCGGUGCUUGAGGACUGGAGAGGAGACUGGAAUUCAUGGCGUAGCAGUGAAAUGCGUAGAGAUCAUGAGGAAGACCAGUGGCGAAGGCGGGUCUCUGGACAGUUCCUGACACUGAGGCACGAAGGCCAGGGGAGCAAACGGG
rnacentral:rRNA from 1 species